ACGGCUCAGUAACACGUGGAUAACCUGCCCUGCGGUGGGAAAUAACCCCGGGAAACUGGGGAUAAUGUCCCAUAGGCUACGGAUGCUGGAAUGCUCUGUAGCUCAAAGAUUUAUCGCCACAGGAUGGGUCUGCGGCCGAUUAGGUAGUUGUUGGGGUAACGGCCCAACAAGCCUUUGAUCGGUACGGGUUGUGGGAGCAAGAGCCCGGAGAUGGAUUCUGAGACACGAAUCCAGGCCCUACGGGGCGCAGCAGGCGCGAAAACUUUACAAUGCGGGAAACCGUGAUAAGGGAACUCCGAGUGUCCGUAAAUGCGGACUGUCCGUAUGUUUAAAAAGCAUGCGAAGAAAGGGCCGGGCAAGACCGGUGCCAGCCGCCGCGGUAAUACCGGCGGCUCGAGUGGUGGCCACUAUUACUGGGCUUAAAGCGUUCGUAGCUGGGUUGUUAAGUCUCUUGGGAAAUCUACCGGCUUAACCGAUAGGCGUCCAAGGGAUACUGGCAAUCUAGGGACCGGGAGAGGUGAGGGGUACUUCAGGGGUAGGAGUGAAAUCCUGUAAUCCUUGGGGGACCACCUGUGGCGUAGGCGCCUCACCAGAACGGCUCCGACAGUGAGGGACGAAAGCUGGGGGAGCAAACCGGAUUAGAUACCCGGGUAGUCCCAGCCGUAAACGAUGCGCGUUAGGUGUAUCGAUGACCACGAGUCAUCGAGGUGCCGAAGGGAAACCGUGAAACGUGCCGCCUGGGAAGUACGGUCGCAAGGCUGAAACUUAAAGGAAUUGGCGGGGGAGCAC
rnacentral:rRNA from 1 species